ACGGCUACCUUCCUAGCACUGAAGAUGGCGGCAGCAGCGCCAGCAGGGGAGGGCCUGGCCAAGACCCUCUGGCACUAAAGAUGGCAGAGGCAGCCUGCAGGAGAGGGCGCGGCCAAGAAGAAUUUGUACCUUCAGCGAAGAGAGUGAAGCUUUGAGAAAAGAAGCUGCUUAGAGUUUAGAGGGCAGGCAUGUGGCUGCACAUAGACCGGGAAGGAGUCAUCAGAGCGAUCAUUAGUGAAACAGUGAUUCAUAAAGAAUUCAGCCUCCUUCCAAGCCAUCCGUUUUCGUCAUGAAAAAUG